rnacentral:rRNA from 1 species
GAUGAACGCUGGCGGCGUGCCUAAUACAUGCAAGUCGAGCGAACAGACGAGGAGCUUGCUCUUCUGACGUUAGCGGCGGACGGGUGAGUAACACGUGGAUAACCUACCUAUAAGACUGGGAUAACUUCGGGAAACCGGAGCUAAUACCGGAUAAUAUUUUGAACCGCAUGGUUCAAUAGUGAAAGACGGUUUUGCUGUCACUUAUAGAUGGAUCCGCGCCGCAUUAGCUAGUUGGUAAGGUAACGGCUUACCAAGGCAACGAUGCGUAGCCGACCUGAGAGGGUGAUCGGCCACACUGGAACUGAGACACGGUCCAGACUCCUACGGGAGGCAGCAGUAGGGAAUCUUCCGCAAUGGGCGAAAGCCUGACGGAGCAACGCCGCGUGAGUGAUGAAGGUCUUCGGAUCGUAAAACUCUGUUAUUAGGGAAGAACAUAUGUGUAAGUAACUAUGCACGUCUUGACGGUACCUAAUCAGAAAGCCACGGCUAACUACGUG